UUCCGGUUGAUCCUGCCGGAGGCGACCGCUUUGGGAGUUCGAUUAAGCCAUGCGAGUCGUGAGUCUUAGGGACUCGGCAUACUGCUCAGUAACACGUGGAUAACCUGCCCUAUCGUCUGGAAUAACCUCGGGAAACUGAGAAUAAGGCCGGAUAGUUCACAAUGCCUGGAACGGUUUGUGAAUCAAGGUAGGAUGGGUCUGCGGCGUAUCAGGUUGUAGGGGGUGUAAAGGACCCCCUAGCCUUCGACGCGUACGGGUGUUGGGAGACAUAGCCCGGAGAUGGAUUCUGAGACACGAAUCCAGACCCUACGGGGUGCAGCAGGCGCGAAAACUUCACACUGCAGGAAACUGUGAUGAGGGAACUCCUAGUGCAUGCACUAUGUGUAUGUAGAUCCUACUCUUAACAAGUAGAGGGAAAGGGCUGGGAAAGACCGGUGCCAGCCGCCGCGGUAAUACCGGCAGCUCAAGUGGUCGUCGCUUUUAUUGGGCCUAAAACGUCCGUAGCCUGAUUGGUAAAUCUGUGGGUAAAUCAAUCCGCUCAACGGAUUGAAUUCUGCAGAGACUGCCAGACUAGGGACCGGGAGAGGUGUGGGGUACUCGAGGGGUAGGGGUAAAAUCCUGUCAUCCUUCGAGGACCACCAGUUGCGAAGGCGCCACACUGGAACGGAUCCGACGGUCAGGGACGAAGCCUAGGGGCACGAACCGGAUUAGAUACCCGGGUAGUCCUAGGUGUAAACGCUGUGAACUUGGUGUCGGGGGUCCGCAAGGGGUCCCCGGUGCCGGAGUGAAGAUGUUAAGUUCACUGCCUGGGGAGUACGGUCGCAAGGCUGAAACUUAAAGGAAUUGGCGGGGCAGCAC
rnacentral:rRNA from 1 species